rnacentral:rRNA from 1 species
AGCUUGCUAGAUUGAUGGCGAGUGGCGAACGGGUGAGUAAUACAUCGGAACGUGCCCAAUCGUGGGGGAUAACGCAGCGAAAGCUGUGCUAAUACCGCAUACGAUCUACGGAUGAAAGCGGGGGACCUUCGGGCCUCGCGCGAUUGGAGCGGCCGAUGUUAGAUUAGGUAGUUGGUGGGGUAAAGGCUCACCAAGCCGACGAUCUAUAGCUGGUCUGAGAGGAUGUCCAGCCACACUGGGACUGAGACACGGCCCAGACUCC